GUGCUCACUUGGCAACACACAUACUAAAUUUGGAACAAUGCAGAGAAGAUUAGCAUAGCCUCUGUGCAAGAAUGACAUGCAACUUCACGAAGCAUUCCAUAUUUUU